AGUAUAUGUACAUCCUAUGCAUUCUGUACCUGUUUUGUAUAUACGCAGUGUAGUGAUGAGUAAUGAGUAUAUAUAAUAUACAAUAAUAUAAACAACAGUAAAUUUUAGUGAAAGAAAAAAUAUUCAGUUUAGAAAUAAAAACCACUAAAUAACAGAAAUGUCAAGUUUGAUCUUGAUUGAAGUAAUAAUACAAUAUAUGUAUUAGAGGAAGAUAUGAAACUCAAUUUUUUGUUGUGAUGGAUAUUAGACAAUUUCAACAUUCUGAAAAUACAAGAUUCAAAGAAUUUAACACAAUGGUCAAUUUCAGAUUUUUUAAUGUUAUAAAAAAUUGAUUUGAUUACUCUGUCAACAUUUUUUACGUUAUAUACAUGAUUAUUAGGUUAGAGCCUGAUCUUGUUUGCUUAAAAGGAAUAGUAAGAGCUUUGUUACGUACACAACAUGAAAGAUAUUAUGUUUGGAUUAUGUGUGCUUUAAAAUUGCAAAGCACAAUAUAUUUAUGCAAGUUUGACACAGAAAUAAAAAGGAAGUGAAUCGACCAAAAGUGAUUUUCUUGAACAUUGAGAGAAUUAGGAUUACAAAUUUGAGCAAUAUAUGGUAGCACAUGAAAUAAAUUAUAAACAGAUAAACAAAUUAUUAUUCCACUGCACAUUUUAUCUUUAAUAAUAUUAAAAAUUAUUUAAUAUAAACUUUAUUUAUUAUUUAGUUACACCAUUCACAGAUCCUGACAUUUCAAAAUGUGUGAACCACAAUGAAGAAUUUUGUUGUAUAUUUAAGUCAAAAUUUAGUUACAAUAUUUUGCUUUAUCUAGCUGAAGUAGAUGGAAUCUGUUCUCAAGUAGAUAGUAGGAAAGGAACUUGUGUUAAUAUAAUUAAAAACCAUUUAUCAUAAGGCACUUUCUAAUGGGCUACCAAAUAGCAGCUUUAAAAUGUUGAGUUGGUGAGCUCUGUGUUAUCCUGUAGGUAUUGAAAAUAUCAUAUAUCCUUGUGGUAAAGAUAGGUGGUAAAAAUAAGGAAGGUAAUGUUAUUCGUUACUUUUUAUAGGGUCAACAAAAAGGGGUAGAAACCUUUGUGUUGGAUUUUUGAAAAAAUAAAAGAAAUUAUUUGCGAAGAGCAAGUAAGUGUUUAUAUAAAUUUACAUAUGAUUCAAAACGAAAUACAAUUGCUGUUUUUGAACAGAAUACUAAUAAAUCAGAAUAUACAUUUUUA